rnacentral:rRNA from 1 species
CUGUGGGUGGCGAGUGGCGGACGGGUGAGUAAUGCAUCGGGACCUACCCAGACGUGGGGGAUAACGUAGGGAAACUUACGCUAAUACCGCAUACGUCCUACGGGAGAAAGCGGGGGAUCGCAAGACCUCGCGCGGUUGGAUGGACCGAUGUGCGAUUAGCUAGUUGGUAAGGUAACGGCUUACCAAGGCGACGAUCGCUAGCUGGUCUGAGAGGAUGAUCAGCCACACUGGGACUGAGACACGGCCCAGACUCCUACGGGAGGCAGCAGUGGGGAAUAUUGGACAAUGGGCGCAAGCCUGAUCCAGCAAUGCCGCGUGUGUGAAGAAGGCCCU